rnacentral:rRNA from 1 species
UACGGGGGGGGCAAGCGUUGUUCGGAAUUACUGGGCGUAAAGGGCUCGUAGGUGGCCAACUAAGUCGGACGUGAAAUCCCUCGGCUUAACCGGGGAACUGCGUCCGAUACUGGUUGGCUUGAGUUUGGGAGAGGGAUGCGGAAUUCCAGGUGUAGCGGUGAAAUGCGUAGAUAUCUGGAGGAACACCGGUGGCGAAGGCGGCAUCCUGGACCAAUACUGACGGCUGAGGAGCGAAAGCCAGGGGAGCAAACGGG